CAGUGUGUUUAAGCUUGACUUCUCAUUCUGAACAAUCAAUAAAAUGCCUUUUUAUUUUAGGUGAUCAAUUCUGAAUUUUUUUCCCAAGAAAAAAAAUCCAGAGAACAAGGGGCCAAAUCAAUAUGCAGUUAUAAUUUUGGUCUAAAUUAAAAGCUCUCUCUUGGCCUGGAGAAUAUAAUCUGUUCAUAUUACUUGGGCUCCAUAAUGAAUUUACAUGGCAGGCUUAUUGCAGGUUUUAUGUCGGCUCUGCCUUACUUGGGCAUGUAAUGCUCUGGAAUCUGAUUAAAACUUUGGGGGAAGAGCAGCUGUUCAGCCAUGGAGGGUGAACUCAGGCCCAUUUUUCAGAACAUGACUAUAAUGCCUGACACGCUUGCCAGCUAUUGGAUGAUAAAUGAACUAUCUUUGAAUGCCCAGCUCCUGUGUUAAUAGCUUUAAAAUAUCGGUUGUUUACAGGAAAGAAGUUGGGAGCUCUUAGCGAUUUUCCUGUCCCAGGGGUCCUCAAAUACAUCGUUUUUUUCAUUGCCAGAAUGGCAGUCAUAUUGAAGGGCAAAGGAAGAAAUUCUUUCACUAUUUAGUUUGUUUUUCUUAGGUUUACAGCAAGAGUUUCUCAUUUCAAAAGAUAGUGGAGUGAGUGCCCUGUGAAUUUUUAUAUGAAAUGAAACACAUAAAAUCCAGACCGCAUCCUUGUUGACAUUAUCCCGUAGUAUCCAAAUCAUAAAGUAAUUUCAUCUGACUUUUCUAAAGGUAUUUAAUUCAACUGAACAUAUGAAAGUUAAAUUCUGAAGCCUGUGCCAAAUAGCUUAUUUCCAGAAUGGCAAUUAAAUGAUCAAGUUUGAUCUAAUGCCAUUGAUGCGAGCAUGCUAUACCUGAUGUUAUUAAGUUAAACCCUAACCCUAAUAUAUUUGGAGGUUUAUUCUUUUUAUGUUUAACCUUGUCCCUACUCUCACCCGCCUACUUUGUUUUUAUGGACAUCAGAAUAUCUUCUAAAUGGAGUUAAUUCUUAAUUAUGUGAUUAUUGAGUGCUUAUAUUUUCAGACAUUGCCUAUUGCUCUAUCUGCUUAUAGCCUUUUUAUUAGCAUGUUUAUAAGAACAAGUUAUGAAAAGUAAAAAAUAUAUACACGUACGUCUUCAAUUUUGUUUUAUUAGUAGUUCUGAUAAAAGUAUCAGGAGAAUUUUAAUCUUAGAACAUGCUUCGUGUAUGGAUUGUGUGUUUUACUUUCUCCAUGAAGAAGGGAAGAUUGGGUUGGGAGUCUGGAUAAUGACUUUACCAUUUACCAACUUUAUGCCAUUGAGCAAGUCAGUCAGCCUUUUCAGUUCUGCUUUCUAAUUCCCUCAAAAUAGGAGCCUCAGUAUACAUAUCAAUCCCAGUUUAAAAUAUAAAAAUCUGUUGGGAUUAUAGAAGUGAGAUUACACUGCAGAUAUAGAUUAUCAAGACAGAUAAGAUCAAUGUCAUGGAGAACAAAACUAUAGAAAACCAAAGUUCAAAACAUGUAUAAUUAUUUACUAAGAUGGAAUAAAAGACUAUUUACAUCCCUAAAACAAGCAUAAGUUGAAAUUUUAAAAGUAAAAUCAUAGAAAUUUAAAAUAUAAAAUUCAAAAUAAUACUUGAGCUGAUGUGAUUGUCUACUUAAAAAUAUGAGAGACUCAGGGAGUUCCUGUCGUGACUCAGUGGUAAAGAAACUAACCAGUAUCCAUUGAGGAUGUGGGUUCAAUCCCUGGCUUCUCUCAGUGGGUUAAGGAUCCAGCGUUGCCAUGAACUUCAUGGCUUGAAUCCCACGUUGCUGUGGCUGUGGUGGAGACUAGCAGCUGCAGCUCCCUCCUAGUAGCCUGGGAACCCCCAUAUGCUGUAGGUAUAGCCCUAAAAAGCAAGAAAGAAAGAGACUCAAAUGGCAAAAUUUAGAGAGCUCAGAAAUACAGCUGGACAGAAGGCUGACACAAAAAAAUCAAUAGUUUUCCUAGACUUCAGUAACAACUGAUGAUUAAAUAUCAUGGGAAAAUUAUUUUGUUUACCAUACCAUUUUAAAAUCUAAAAUAAUUGGAAUAUCCCUCAUGAUAUGUGAGAAGAAAAAACCUUAACUUUAGUGAAGGACAAAAAAAGACACCUUCAAUAAAUGAAGAGCCCUGCUGUGAAAUAGGAUGGGAAGAUUCAAUAUUGUAAAGUAGUCAACCCUUCUCCCAAGUAAACUGUACCUUCAGAAUAAUCUCCCUUCUCAAAUCCCAAUGGAUUUGUAAGGUGAUUCUAAAGUUCACAUGGAGCUUGUGCUUAAGACAGCAGGAUAAAAUAUUUUAUUCUACUAGACCUGCUGAAAACAAACUAAAACUAUGAGAAACAUUGAAAAAAUAGAAAGGAAAUUUUUAUAGCAUAUGAAGCAGAGAAAUAGUCACAAUUCCAAACCAUAAAAUAUGAAAUGUUUAUGUAUGAAAUAUUGCUGCCAAAUACUGUGAACAAGAAAUGGAAUGGUGCUGACCAAAUCAGUUCCUUUUAGACCUGACAACAUAUCACAUCACUGAAAGGACUGGCUAAUAUUCCAUUGGUUAGGGUUGCAGAUAAGAUCAGACUGAAUGGGCCAAGGAAGAAACGGGGGGAAAUAAUCUGCCCCUUCAAAAUGAAAGAUGAACAGAAAUCGCUCUGACCUACAUUGCAGUUUCCCAGCUAGGGCACUGCAAGAGGCUAUUUGCAUGGGAGGAAGGGAGGCAACAAUUUCUAAAUCAAAACAUAAUUUAUCUGUAACUUAUGGGUCUUUUCUCAGUGGCACUCAAUUUGAAUGUCAUGGGCUGCAAAAAGAUGUGUGCCCAACAGAAAGAAAACAGAUUUAGUGACAAAUGAGACAGACAACUUGAGGGAGUUUUCAAACAUGCCUCAAAUUCUUUGACACUCCCCUCAUGGAGAGCUGGAGUCUCCUUGUCCCCUUUAAUCUAUAAAAUGUAGAGGAAAGGAUGAAGUGCCAUUUUCCAAGCUUAGGCCUUAAGAAACUAGCAGCUUCCAUUUCAUAUCCCUUGUGACACUCUUCCUUGGAAUGCUACCACCUUUCUGUGAGGUCAAGCUGCUCUGCUUUAUGAUGAGUGCUGAGUCCUGUGGGUGGUCCAUCCUCAAAGUGAAUCCUUCAACCUCUUAGAGUUGCUCCAACUGAUUCCAUGUGGAGCAGAAAUGAGCUGAACCUGCUGAGCUCUGCCCAAUGUGCAGAUUUGCAUACAAAACAGCUGAUUCUUGUUUUAAACCAUUCAUUCUGGGGUGGCUUGUUAAAUGCAAUGAUAGAGAACCAGAGAAAAACCCAAAUUAAAGCUGCAGUUGGCUUCUGUUUACUUUAUUCAACCCAUUUCCCUUUAUCCCUAGACUAUACUGUUCUUUAAUAAAUAAAAAGUCUCAUUUAAAGAUGAAUAAUAAUCAAAAAGGAGGGAGUGCGACAUGUUCUUUGAAACUGCAAUACAUAUAUAUAUUUUAAGCCAAAGAAGAGCCCAUGACCUCCCAAACAGAUUUACCAAAGUAUGACAGAACAGUCUGGACAAAGAAUUCUCCAUUAUUAGGAAGACAACAUGAAUUUUGUCUUUCUCUCAAUAUAGAUACAGAUAGAUAUAUGAUUUAAGAUUUCAUAGAAGAGACAUAAAAUAAUCAAGGAAGAUUAAAAGUGUGCUAGAAGAGCUCAGAGAAAAGCUAGAGAGAUAAAAUCACUUAGAAGAUAAAAAAAAACACUUUAGAAGCAACAAAAAUAGAAUGAAAUUCUCUGAAAACGCUGUCAGGGACAUAGGGGACAGAUUUGAAGACAUAACACAAAACAAAGUAGAAAAGAACAAAGAUACAAUAAUGACUACAAGCAAUAGGACAGAAAUGGAUGGCAGAUAGUUGAGUGUUUUUGAAGAAUAAAACACAUGGAAAUUGUUAUAAAACAAUAUUCUUCUGAAAUGAUGUAAUAAGUGGACUGAAAGACUUGAAGGACCCACUAGAUGCCAGGAAAUUUUCAUUUGGAAUCAUCAAAAAGAUGAGAUAAUCUGGCAAAGUUAUUGAAUUUCAAGCUUAAAGAAAGAAUUAUGGGGCUGUCUAGGCAGAAAAUCCAAGUCACUUACAAAAGCAGAAAUAAUCAGGUUGGCCUUGGAUUUCACCACAGUGACAUUCAAUUUCAGAAGAUGGAAAGGCCGCACAUUUUCGCUUCUGAGGGACAGAAUGUGAAACCCAAGUCAAAUUGUUCUUCCAAUAUAAAGGCAGCAGAUUAGGUGUUUUAAUAAAUAGUGUGGGUCAAUGGGCUAUUCCUUUGGGAGAAAAAGUUAAAUGCCUAAAUCCUAAAAAGGGGUUACAGAGCAAAAUACUAAGAAAAAAACUAUGAAAAUACCAGGAACUAUUUCUAUAAUUUUGGAAUGUUGAGGUUCUUCCAAAAUAAGACUCAAAACUUAAAAACAGUAGAAUUAAAAAUUAAUCAACUUAAUGGAAAUGCUAUAAAAUCAGUUGUGAUGAUCAUUGUACAACUAUAAAUGUAAUAAAAUUCAUUGAGUAAAAAAAAUAAAUAUAUACUUAUCUAUUUUAAUGUUUUAAAUAUACUCAAAGAACACCUACGAAUCAAUGUGAAAAACGUAAUACAAUAGAAAGUUGAAUAAAAAAUAUGAACAACUAAUUUACAGACCUCUCUCUGUAUGUGUGUAUAUAUACAUAUAAAUAUAUAUAGUCAAGUAAAAUGGUGUUUAUUUACAAAUGGAGAAAAUACAAAUUCAACUGGGACAUUUCACAUCCAUCCAAUUGACAAGAUUUCAAGCGUUUUUUCAUGUUCAGUUCAGUAUUGGCAAGAAUGAAGAGGAUUAGGCAUUUUUAUGCACUUUGUUGUCAGUAUCACUCAGCAUUUUAAAUGUUCCUAGUAAAACUACUUCUAGUAAUAUACUUCUAUAAAUAUUUCCUUAUGCAGACAAAGAUACCUGUACAGUGCAUCACUGUAAUGACAACAGAAAUGUAAACAGCCAAAAAUAUCUAUUGAUAAGGAAGAGAUUAAAUAUAUUGUACUACAUACAAACUAGGGAAAACUUUGAGCCUUUAAAAAGUCGACAUAAAGAAAUCUCAGAUAUUUUUAGUUACAAAAUAAUGUUUCUGAAAAAUACAUGUUGUGUAAUAGCAUUUAUACAAAAAAUGAUUUUGUAUAUAAAUGUAAGGGAAUGACGUCCAAAUUUUACUCUAUAUACUUUUGCAUUGCCUUAACCUUUAAUACAGAGAGUGUAUUUCUGUUUUACUUCUGUGGUAAAUGCAUUUUUAAUGGGAGUAAAAAUGCCUCACCUGCUUACCUAGUAGAGGUUUUAAAUUGUGUUAACUGCUACAUUCUGAGCACCUAUAACUGGCAGUAAUAGUUGGCCAUCUGUUGUUAGUAGGUCUCCAUCUAAUGCAUGAACAAAUAGGGAUGUGUUGAGGAUCCAAUGGGAGGAUGGUUGUUAAAGGAUUAUACAAGCACAGAUAUUUGUGUGACAGCAACAUCUGACUUUAAAUUGUAAGAGUUAAACCCUAGAGAUGUGUGUGCCUCUCAUGCCAGAACCAUUGAUUGAAAAUUGAAAUCUUUGGAUUUGAGUAAUAAAAAAGAAAAAAAAAAGAAAAUUGAAAUCUUUGGGAGUUCCGGUCAUGGCUCAGCAGAAGUGAACCUCAGCAGUAUCCAUGAGGAGGCAUGUUCGAUCCCUGGCCUUGCUUGGUCCGGUAAGGAUCCAUUGUUGGCAUGAGCUAUGGUGUAGGUCGCAAACGUGGCUCGGAUCCCAUGUUGCCGUAGCUGUGGCGGUGUAGGUUGGCAGCUGCAGCUCCAACUCAACCCCUAGCCUGGGAACAUCCAUGUGCUGUACCAGCAGCCCCAAAAAGCAAAAAUAAAAAAGAAAGAAAGAAGGAAGGAAGGAAGGAAGGAAGGAAGGAAGGAAGGAAGGAAGGAAGAAAGAAAGAAAGAAAGAAAGAAAGAA
rnacentral:lncRNA from 1 species